UACGGGGGGGGGCAAGCGUUGUUCGGAAUUACUGGGCGUAAAGGCUCGUAGGUGGCCAACUAAGUCAGACGUGAAAUCCCCUCGGCUUAACCGGGGAACUGCGUCUGAUACUGGAUGGCUUGAGUUUGGGAGAGGGACGCGGAAUUCCAGGUGUAGCGGUGAAAUGCGUGAGAUAUCUGGAGGAACACCGGUGGCGAAGGCGGCGUCCUGGACCAACACUGACACUGAUGAGCGAAAGCCAGGGAGCAAACGGG
rnacentral:rRNA from 1 species